rnacentral:rRNA from 1 species
CGCACAGGUUGAGAUCAUGUGUUGUGCCAGAAACAACACAACCCCAAUUGAGCAACACCUCUUUACGCUUCUUCCCGAUUGGCUGUGGCGCCAGGUUCAACCAGAACCCGAGUCGACGCAGCAACCUCUCAUGCCUGAUGACCAUAGCGAGUUGGUCCCACCCCUUCCCAUCCCGAACAGGACCGUGAAACAACUCCACGCCGAUGAUAGUGCGGAUUGCCCGUGUGAAAGUAGGUAAUCGUCAGGC